AUACGAAGGUCCCAAGCGUUAUUCGGAAUCACUGGGCGUAAAGAGUACGUAGGCGGUUUGGUAAGUCAGGUGUGAAAUCCCGGAGCUCAACUCCGGAACUGCAUCCGAUACUGCCAGACUUGAGUAAUGGAGAGGCAGGUGGAAUUCUCGGUGUAGCAGUGAAAUGCGUGGAUAUCGAGAGGAAGACCAAUGGCGAAGGCAGCCUGCUGGACAUUUACUGACGCCGAGAUACGAAGGCUAGGGGAGCGAAAGGGAUUAGAUACCCCGGUAGUCC
rnacentral:rRNA from 1 species